AGAUGGCGCCGACAUCCAGCCUUGUCUGGAUAUAAACGACUUACUGCGCAUGUGCAGGCUUGUCCCCUUGCUAGGGCUCCCUCUAGUGGUGAACAGCGGUACUGCACAUGUGCGGUUUAUGCACCAGGUGUUAGUUGACCGUUAAUAUGCUAAUGAGGUGAUUCAUUCUCCGCCAAUCCCUGGAGGACAAGUAGUGGGGUGAUCCAAGCCCCACCAAUCCCUGAGAGAUAAUUAGCAUACUGUUGUCUAUAUAAGCCGAGCGAUUUUGCUGCUCGGGGUCCCUGUUCAGAAGAGUUGUAACACUGAGAAGAGCUGUAACACUAAGAAGAGCUAUAACACUGAGAAGAGCUGUAACACUAAGAAGAGCUGUAACACAGUAAAGGCUUGCUCGCAGAAGAUUCCUGUUGCCGCGCGUCGUUCUUGCUGGCGGGACAUUGGGCGCGCGACACUCGUUCACCCAGGACAGCCAUUCAGGAAGUCUGUGGGUCUGGAUGUAGAACUCUCAGCUUCGCCCCCAGCAGGACUGCCUGUGAGCCACCAUGCUCCUGCCACGAAGAUAAUGAACUGAAGCUCCGAACUGUGAGUGAGCCCCAGUCAAAUGCUAUCCUUUAUUAGAGUUGCCUUGGUCGUAGUGUCUCUUCACAACAACAAAACGGUAACUAAGAUAAUGACUUUCUUCUUAAAAGUCAAGUCAUAAUGAAGCUGGGGGGUUUACACUGGAUAUAGUAGUUAGUGGUUUUCUGUUAAUGUGUAUCUCUAUGCAUUUCACAUUUGUGGGUAUAAUUUCUUUUACUUUUAACUUUAUGUUCUCUAAUAAUUGUUGCCAAUUACUCUCUUCUUCCAGAUUUCCUGAACAUUUACAUUUUACAUGAACACAUUAAAAUUGUUAAAAUUAGGCCAGUAGAAGUGAUUUACUACUAUCAUUACUGAGUAUCAUUUAGAUAUUUGAAUUACACAGAAUUCACUAAUAUUCAUUUUACUCUUUUAGCAUUUUUAAUGACUGGUAUAUUUGUAUACACUAACAUGUAGUAUAAAAUGUGGUUUAACAUGUAUACAUUUUUCAGUGGCAAACAGUACACAAGGCCAUGAAACCAGUAUAUGCACCACUUGAUGGCCUUUCUACAACUUCAGUGUUCGGGGAUUUAAAAAUAAAUGUCCUUUAAAAGCCUCUCAAAUGGCAAACUUGUGACCAAAAAGAAACAACAAAUAAUUCCAUUGCAAACUAAAAUAUAAUUUUCAGAACAGAUGGGAUCAUCUCCACUUCCUAAACACUCACAUUCUGGGUUCUUAAUGUUUACAAAAGAACUUUCUCAGGUGAUCUAGGAUAUGGGGAAUGAAGGGCAGUAUAGGCCACUGCUAUAAUGUUUUGUCUUCAAAGUCCCUGUAAAAACCCAUGUUUCAAAGUUUGGUGCUCAGGGUGAUGUUGCUGGGGUGUAGAAGAACCUUCAUGAGUUGGGCUCACUGAAGGCCUGCCUCCAAAUAGCACAGUGAGACACCACCCCAUCCUCUUCCUCUUACUUUUGUUCCCUAGUGAUGAAGAACAUGAUGUCAUCAGGCCAUACAUUCCUUACCAUGACCCAUUGCUUUAACACCAACAGCUCAAGGCAACCAAUCAUGGACUAGAAUCUCCAACAAGUGGGAGCCAAAAACCUUUCUCCUUUCUAAGUUAACUCCAGCAUUUCCUUAUCAUGACAGGACCCUGCAACCACACUGAAUCAGAAGUGUGGAAUGUCACUGUUUCUCAGAACUGGGCCCUAAUUACAAAGGUGAGAUUCAUACUCAGAGAACUGUUUUUGUCUUAUGGAUUAGUCUGUGGUGAGGAAGUGCAGCAGCAACCAAGAAGAUACAGAUGGAGCCCAGUUCCCAGUCUGUGUCCCUUCCCACAUGGAGAACACUAUCUACAGUCCAAUAUGACAAGCUAUCUGCAUCUAAUGAAUGCAAUAUUAAAUAACCAGAGAGCACAGUCACAGCACAGCUAAUAAAAGAGGGUGAUUUUUUGAAUCUGCAAUUACAUGAGAAAAGUCUAAAAUAAUGUGUUCAGAGUUUACAUUUACAUAAAACAUCAAGAAUAAGCAUAGACAUGAAUAUUAAUAUGCUUAUUUAACAUAUUGGCUUAUUCUUUCAAAAACCCAACAAAAUAAAAUAUAUUUUAAAAAAUUUUAUUAAAUAAUUCAUCUAUUUAAUUUACAUCCAGAGCGCAGUUCUCCCUUCCUUCCUCUCUUUCUGGUCCUUCCCUCCCACUUCCCUUCUCCCUAUCCACUUCUCCCUUUCUCUUCAGAAAAGGGGAGGCCUCCCGAGCUCAACCAGCUUUAACAUAUCAAGUUGCAGUAAGACUAGGUGCAUCUUCUCCUAUUGAGGAUAGAUGAGGCAGCCCAGUAGGAGGAAAGUGUCCCAAAGGCAGGCAACAGAGUCAGAGGCAGCCCCUGCUCCCACUGUUGGGAGUCACACAUGAAGACCAGGCUACACAACUGUUCCAUAUGUGCAGAGAGCCUAGGGCAGUCUCGUGUUAGUUGACCAUUCAGUCUCUGCGAGUCCCUAUGGGCUGAUGACAGUUAUCCUAGUUUCCUGUGUAGCAGAAGAUCAUUAACAAUGUCAGAGGUGGGCUCCUUUCAUGGCAUAGAUCUCGAGCUGGACCAGUCAUUGGUUGGCCACUCCCAUGAUUGAUGUCCCAUCUUUACCCCUGCACAUCCUGUAAGCAGGAUAAGUAGGGGGGUCAGAGGCUUUGCAUCUGGGUUAUUGUCCCUGUCCCUCCAUUAGAAGUCUUCCUAGUUACAGAGAUUUUAAAAUAGGAUAGAAGGUGGACAGGAAUGAAUUCUCCAAAUAUAUUCUGAGUUUUAGUUUCAAUUUUGAACUAUAUCGAGUUUCAGGUUAUUAAAAAGAAAAAAACUAAAAUAAUCCCUGAAGUAAAAUUUUAAAAACCUGAAACAAAUUAAUCUAACUAAACAUCAAGUCGAAUUUAAAACAUCAAAUGUUAGCCAAAGGACAAAUAACUACAAAGGAGCUGGGGAUCAGGGAUUAGCUAGGAAAGCAUUUGCCUCGCAUGUGCAAGGCCCUAGGCUCAUCACCAGUACCUCUCACACACACAUGCACAUACAAACACACAUGCCUACACACAUGUACAUAUACACAUGUCCACACACAUGUAUACACACACGUGCACAUGAAAACACACAUGUACACACACAUACACAUACAAACACACAUGCCUACACACAUGUACAUAUACUUGUACACACACACACACACACACACACACACACACACACACACACCUUGGACUGGAGAGAUUGCUCAGGUGCCAAGCUACUUUCUGCUUUUCCAGAUGAUGGAGGUUCAGUUCCCAGCAUCCACAUUCUCAACAACUACUUAUAACUCCAGUCACAAGAUACCCAAUACCCUCUUCUGGCCCUAAAGGGCAUUCAAUAAUACAUGGCAUAUACUCACACAUACACAUGAAAUCUUAAAAACUUAUUUAGUGGUCUUACAGCUAUAGUACUAUCAUUAGGAGUUAUGUUAAAGCCACUAUAAGUAAUACCAUUAAGCUAAUUAUGAAAAUUUAUUUACCUAGGACAUAAAAGAGAUAUUUUAAUAUAAAUAUGAACCAUUUUAUCUCCUUAGUAAAUGUUUAGGAAAUAAAGUUUCCAUUUAACAGGUAAUUGAAGUGUCUCAAAGCAAAGACAGACUCAUGCUUGUCUUUGAAAUGCAGUCCACAGCAGCAUUUAGCACACAUGUGAACAAAUGGUUACCACUGGAUAUUUUCCCAUUGUUACUCGGGGAGUGCUUAUAAGCUUCUAAAAAUAUGCUUUGCAUUAGAAUUUCUCAGAACAGAAGUUAGCUUUCUGAACAACAGCAUUAUUCACAAUGCAUUAGGAAUAACAUUGUCAGAAACAAAAGUCUUUAGACUGAAAAAUCAAUAAGUCAAAUAUCAUUAGUGCAACUAUAGACCUAGUUCAAAUCUUAGUUAUAUUAGGAGAAGGCUAAAUAUUGGCUUAGAACUCUUAGGAUUGUGCAAAGAUAUAGAAAGAAGGGGUUGGGGAUUUAGCUCAGUGGUAGAGCGCUUGCCUAGCAAGCGCAAGGCCCUGGGUUCGGUCCCCAGCUCCGAAAAAAAAAAAAAAAGAAAAGAAAAAAAAAGAUAUAGAAAGAAAGCCAGCCCCUCCCCUGCUCUUUCAUUGAUUACCAUGUAGAAGAUGCUACUUUGGUUCCUUUAUAUUCUAUUUCAGUGUGCGUGUGUGUGUGCGUGUGCGUGUGCGUGUGCGUGUGCGUGUGCGCGUGUGUGUGUGUGUGUGCGCGUGUGUGUGUGUGUGCAUGCGUGUGUGUGCGCACACACAGGCACAUGUUCAUGUGGGUGCAUGUUGGGUAUGAGUUGCCCAUGUACCUACAUAUGAAAGUGAAAGGUUGAAGUCCAAAUGAGCCAUCUACCUGGUGCUUUGAGACAAGAGUCUUUCACCUACUUGUGGGUGGCAGAUGUGGCUAGAUUAACUUGCUAGAGAGCUCCUGGCACCCAUCUGUCUCAAAUUGAGAAUUGCAUUCUCAAUUCUGGGAUUAAAGUAGUACCACCUGACCUUUUUGUGAGCUUUGAGGCAUCAGACUCCAGCCCUCACAGUGGUAUAGCAAUGUUUGCAAGCGAGGCAUCUUCCCAGUCAUGAUUCCUCUCUUAUGGUAGGUAAGUAAAGGACAGGAAGCAGUCUGUCACAGGAUUUAAUACAGCCUCCGCAGAUUUAGGGACCCAAAGGAACAGCACUACACACAGCCAAGCUAGACCUACUUCAGUACUUCAACAUAAACAAGUGCUCUGCUUUUUAGUACAGUUUGGAUACUAAAAUAAUUCUGGGCCUUUUCAGGAGGCAGCUGUUUAAAUUUGGCCAGAAUCCAAGGUGUCGGCCGGCCCAUCCCCUGCCCCUCCCGGAUUUAAUGAGGCGUGCUCACACCGUUUUUUUGGCAUGUGCUAAAUACGCAUUGUUCAAGUUGCCAGAAGAAAAACAUAUCUUCAUGUCCUCCCAGGUCCCUCAUUUUAAGAAACACUACAAGGUAAAGGUUCUGAGGUUCAUCACAGUGAAGUGGAACAGAAACACCUCUUUGAAAUGGGUCUUGCCUUCAAGUCUCUCGCCAAGCCUAGAAAAAUAAGACUUUCAAAAGAAGCCACCAAAGAAGAGGCUGGCCCACAGGUUUGUAAACAUCAGUGCUUUCAGAAGCUGAGGCUGCAGAACCACCUGCGUGCCAGGCUCUCUCCAAUGGGCAAUGUCGCUAUCUUAUCAACUCCCAUACAGACCUUCGAGAGGAACUGAAUUCAGAGUGAAGGAAUCUAGAUGUAAAUCAUGGGAAUUGAGCUAACUCAGUCUGGUCAACAGUUAAAGAGUCACGGCCUGGACUUGAAUUCAGAACUACCAGUUACCACAGGCACCACUUCAAGGAUAAGGCUACAGUCUCUGUAUGGCUGCCCAGAACGCGGCAGCUGGCACAUGGACUUCUUAGAAGAGAGGAGACCACACAGGACCAAAGACAGAGUGUCUAAGGAAGCUCACUGUCUGUGCUUUUAAGUUGGAAGGAAGUCAUUUUCUCACACAAAACCAGGUUGCUUUUUGUGAACAGCACAAGUGGAGUGGGUCUAAGGAUCUUCUGCUCUUCCUGCAGCCUGCUCUCAUACUAAUUGGCUGCUACCACCUUGACCCUAGAAAUGAAAGACUGCAUUGAUCAGUCAGAACUUCAAAGGCAUUGCUGCCAGCCAGAGCUGCUCAUCCUCCUUGACCCCGCCCCCCACAUCAGAGUCUCUAUUUUACAUGAUCUAAGGAAUAGCAACACUUAAGGAUGCUUUAAAUAAUCUACAAGUCUAACUAUAACACAUUUAAAAGACAAGGUAUUUUUCUUACUGCUUACAAUCCAUCAUGAUUUGUAAAAGAUCUGCUCAUGGAAUUGUAAAAUAAGUUCAGUGAAAAUCACAUGCAUUUACACACACACACACACACACACACACACACACAUGCAUACACACAUGCACACAACUGUGCACACACAUCAUUGUGGGCAUCACUACGAUACACAGCACUUUUGGAUGUGCUCUCAGUUGGGGCUUCGCUGUUUUAAGCAUGAGUGGCAGCCCAUGCAGGAGGCCCGAGCACUGUACACUGCUGAGUAUAGGCUGAUUGUCACCACCAGAGAUGCCCUCUUUGUCCUAGCCCGAGUAAAUAUGCAUUUACUCACUUGUUAUUUUGGAAUUGAGCAUCUCUCCCAUUAGGUAUACGUAGCUUUAGAAACCAUUAACAUUCAAAACAGCACCUGGUUCACUUUACAAAUGUCAGUUAAAUGAAUAAACUAUUUCUAUACCAAGAAACACAGUCCAUGGGAGUUUUUGUAAUAGUCAUUAGCUUCACAGAUGUUACAUAAGGGUAACCACAGCCAAUAAUAUUUAUUAUAAAACGACUAAAUUUAGGACAGAAUACCCUGCUGUCUGUUCGAGUAUAUUUAUGAGAUGAUGGGGGCGGGGGGAGGACUCAGUAAGAAACACGUGACUUCCACAUCUGUUCUCAUAACAUUCCUCCCAAUGACACCUCACAUGCACCCUGCCUUUAGUUGCUUUUAACUUCUCUAUGUGUUCUCCAGAAAGAACAAGACAAAUGAGACAAGUUGGGGGGGGAGAAGGGAGGAAGAGAGGGAGAGAGAGAGAGAGAGACAAGUUGGGGGGGGAGAAGGGAGGAAGAGAGGGAGAGAGAGAGACAGACAAGUUGGGGGGGGAGAAGGGAGGAAGAGAGGGAGAGAGAGAGACAGACAAGUUGGGGGGGAGAAGGGAGGAAGAGAGGGAGAGAGAAAGAGAGAGAGAGAGAGAGAGAGAGAGCGCCAGAGCGCCAGGAGUCAGAGGCCCAUAAUCCCUCCAAGCCCAAGCUUCAGAUUAAAUCGGCUGGAAGGAAAUCAGUUUAUUUUUAGUGGGAUGAGAAUCAGAACUCUCCUUUGAUUUUCUUCGGAACCUCUGAAGGUGCAUGCCAAGAGUAAAGCAGAUGGUAAGUUUGGAAGCAUUUGGAUAAAUGGGUUCAGAGACCAUAUCAGAAAGCAACGAGAAUAACUUUCCUGUUACACGUAAGAGAACGGGGCUCAAAACUCACUGUGGACAUGGAGGAAAAGGGAACCACUUAUCCUGUCGAGAUUUCAAAACAGCCAGGAAAAACACCUCUGUUCUCCCCCCAGAGACCAAGGACCACAAAAGCAACUGCCAUGGGUUGCUGUUUGUAUUGAGUGGGUUAUUUACAAAGGUGAGCAUUCGACCUAAGCCAUGCAUUGUUCAUUUCCAACAAACAUUGCACUUGGGGAAAGUGUAGGGCCUGCUUGUGGAUGCUCUCCUCAUUCUUCAUCACAAAACCAGCAUCAAUUACCAUUCAAUUACUGUUCAUCAGAAGCUGCUCCACAUCGUAAAAGAGCACCAAAAUACGGGUGCACCUAUGACAAAGGUGAAAAAGACCCAAUGCCUACUACCACAGCCAUACAACGUGUGCCAGCAUUCCUUCACAAGGAGAAGUCCACGGAACUGGAAACACAAUCCCUACCACUGUGUUCAUGUCGCAGAAGAGGAAAAUGAUGGUUAUAGGAGAAACCUGGCCAAAGAAGGGCACAUGGAGAGUAAAAGAACUCGGUACUUGAACUUAGGUAGCCUGACACUUGAACCAGAAUUGAUCUCCUCUGAGACUGUAUUUUAAUUACAACAUUUCUACCUUCCAUUUCUUCCCUCCAAACCUUUAUAUAUACCCUUCCUUGCCCAAAUUAUGACUUCAUUUUCAUCAAUUGCUAUUCACACACACACACACACACACACACACACACACACACACACACUCACUCACACUCCUAAGUAUAACCUGCUGAACCCAGUAUACAAUGCUACUUGUAUGUAUGCUUUCAGGGCUGACCAUUUGUCACUGGAAAACCAAUUGGUGUGCCCUUCCCUGAGGAGGUUCACCUCACCACCAGCUUUACUCAGUUGCCUGUGGUUCCUUGUGUAGGGCUGAGGCCUCAUGGGUUUUCCCCCAUACACUUGGAAGUUUCAGAAUUAAGCUCUUACCUAAUAUACUACUAUAGUUCUACCCUCAGAUGUCCCAUGUGUUUGAAGCUUAAGUCUCUUUCUUUCAAACUGAAAGUUGCCUGCCUCAGCUAAACAGUGCACCAGCUACAGCCUGUGCUCAGGUGUAGACUACAAUACAGCUUUCCCAGAAGCUGAAAGGAUAACAAAUUAUCUCUGUAAAGAACACACUGAGGUUCGUUUCCAGGAAUGUUCUAUGCUCUUUUACCUAGUCCCACUAGGAAGUGGGAUGGAUUAAAACAGGGAAGAAGAAUUAAAAGCAAGUACUAUAGUCAGGAGGAGAGCAGAGUGUGGCAUUACAGCUUCACACUCACCUGACCACAUAUAACAGAAGAGAAGUGAGAACUACUUACAUCAAGGCAUCAUAAUCUGCCAUUCCAAAUUCCCUCGUGUGCAUACUGGGAAGAAAAAGUUUAAUGCUCAUAUAAAAUACUGCUUUAAUUUGCUCCAGCUCUAUAAAGCUGAUAAGGUAAACCCUUUGUGGGCUUCAUACCCAGCUGUGCUGUGGGCUGCCACUGAACAAUGAUGAAUCUCACACAUGUCCUCACAGCUUCUCUACCUACUUAUCUAUGGUCUAAUCACCAUUCAUGUUUGCCUUAAAUGCAGGCCACCUGUGGAAGGCUUGCCCACAUUUUCCUAAGACUUUCAAUUAAGCUGGCUGACUGAGAGAGCAAGCCAACUCCCAGCACAGGUCUAGUCAGUCAUCGUGCUACAGAGAUCAGACUUGGUUAGAGUCGUGUACGAAGACUCGCCCAAAAAGUGAAUCCCAGAUGACAAUUAAAGGAUUCCACCAUGAAGUAAGCCUUGAGAGAGAAAAGGCCCAUCUUGAUAAAGUGUUCACAACCAUAAGACAGGGUCACAGAACUAACCGUCAUAGCACAGUCCUCUGUAAGAGCAGGAGUGGAGGCAGAAGGAUGGUAGAAUAGAAUGCCCAAAGUAUCCUUGUAUCCUUCCCUGACAAACAGGGCAGAUCCCUCAGUGGGAAAUCCAGAAACCAGUUAAAAAGAUGCCUGUAUCUCCGGUAAGCAGCCAAGCCAAGCAUUUCAAAGCUCAUUACAAAAAUGCAAACACGAAAACUAAUUAUAACUGUGCAAUAUAAAAGGAGAUCAUCUGUGCCAUCCAUUACAUAACAUAGGGGGUAAGAGAGAUGUCAAGGAAUAGUUUAUAUGUGUUAUUAUAGUUGUUACCAGUUUUAAAUAAUAAGAAUUAUCAUUGUUAUUUAAUAUCUUUAAUGAAAUUUCAAUGAAGACAUUUAUAGAAUAUACAUAAAAGAAGCAGUAUAAGAUGAGAAUCUAACCCUGUCAUAACAAGAAAAGUAAUGGGACACAAGGCAGACAGAAAACAAUGUCAGGCAGCAGGAGUUUCUCCCCAUCUUGGUAACUGCCUUAAACAGAAUGGAUUAAAUAUUAUUAAUGGAUUACUGAAGGAUCAAGAAAAACACAAGCCCUAACUCUAUGCUAUCUAUAAGACAUUCACUUCCUAUCUAAGGUCAAUGAAUGAUAAGUUCCAGACACAAGAAACUAUAUACAAAAAGCCCGUUGUUAACAUAGCUCAACUAAGGGGCUAGAGAAUGGCACAGCAGGUAAGAAAACAGACUGCUCUUCCAGAGGUCCUGAGUUCAAUUCCCAGCAAAACAUGGUGGCUCACAACCACCUGUAAUGAGAUCUGAUAUCCUCUUCUGGUGUGUCUGAAGACAGCAACAGUGUACUAAUAUACAUACAAGUAUUUGAAUAAACAAAUAUAUAUAUAUAUAUAUAUAUAUGGCAACAAAGUAACGCUGCUGACAGUUAUUCCUCUACCAGCAGGUGGCAAACAGUAACACCCACUCUCUCUGCUACUAUUCACCACACUGGACGUUCUAGUCAGAGCAAUUAAACAAGGAAAAGAAAUAAAAUCUACUAUUAUGUAUUGAAAAGAAGAAGAAAACCUAUCUCUGUCCAUUAUGUCAAUGACGUCAGGUCCAAUGACGAGAAAACGCCAAAUAACUGGUUAGAUAAAUAUAUUAGCGACAUUACGGGGUAUAAAAAUAGAAUUCAAAAUUUCUUAGAGGUUUGUAUAUACUCAGGUAACCCAGAAUGGGAAAUAAACCAUCUCAUUUGGAAUAUCAUCAAAAAGGAUGAAAUUCAUAGCAAUAAACUUAUGCGCGCGCGCGUGUCUGUGUGUGUGUGUGUGUGUGUGUGUGUGUGUGUGUGUAAAAUACUUGUAUAGUGAACACUAAAAAAGAUUUCUAAAGGAAAUAUAAGAAAAUAUAUAUAAAUAAAAAGGUGUGCUAUGCUUGUAGACGAUAGAAUUAGUAUUCAUAAAAUGCCUACAAUGCUCAAAGCAAGCUCCAAAUGCAAUGCUACCAAACUCCCAACUGCUGUUGUCCAAGUCAGGGUAACUGACAUUUUCAUCACCUUAUCAUUAUUCUGAGUUUGCAGUCUUCAAAUUCCUCUCUACUUAUUAACUGAUAUUUAUUAUUAUUAAACUGGUCACUGUAAACUAUAGUGCCCUCCCUGUUCUUCAAAACACUAGAACUUAAUACUUUUAUGCUCGAGUAUCUAUUACCUGAUCUCUGUUAAGCACUACCAUAAAUUCCAGAUGAUUUUUUUCUUUUUCUUUUUUUACUUUUAUUUUUCUUGGAUAUUUUAUGUAUUUACAUUGCAAAAGGUAUCCCCUUUCCCCCUCUCCCUUACCUCCACUCCCUCACCCUGUUUCUAUGAGGAUGCUCCCACUCUUACCUACCCACUUCUACCUCAACACCCUGGCAGUCCACUAUGUUGGGGAAACAAGCCUUCACAGAACCAAGGUCUUCUCCUCCUAUUGAUGCUGGACAAGGCCGUCCUCUGCUACAUAUGCAGCUGAACUUCCUAUUGGAUUGCAAACCCCUUCAGCUGUUUCAGUGAUUUUUCUAACUCCUCCACUGGGGUCCCUGUGUUCAGUCCAAUGGUUAGCCGCAAGCAUCAUCAUUUGUAUCAGUAAGGAUCUGGAAGAGCCUCUCAGGAGACAUCCACAUCAGGCUCUGGUCAGAAAGCACUUGUUGACAUCAGAAAUAGUGACUAGCUUUGGUGGCUGCAUAUGGGAUAGAUCCCCAGGUGGGGCAUCUUGGUGAUCUUUUCUUCAGUCCCUGAUCCACUCUUUGUCCCUGUAUUUCCUCCUGUGAGGAUUUUGCUCUCCUUUCUAAGAAGGACUGAAGCAUCCACAUUUUGGUCUUACUUCUUCUUGAGCUUCAUAUGAUCUGUGAAAUUUUUCUUAAGUAUUCCAAGCUUUGGGGCAAAUUCUACUUAUCAGUGAGUGAAUACCAUGUGUGUUCUUUGGUGACUGGGUUACCUCACUCAGGAUGGUAUUUUCUAAUUCCAUGUGUUUGCCUAUGAGUUUCAUGAAGUCAUUGUUUUUGAUAGCUGAGUAGUACUUCAUUGUGCAAAUGUACCACAUUUUCUGUAUCCAUUCCUCUGUUGAAGGACAUAUGGGUUCUUUCCAGCUUCUGGCUAUUGUAAAUAAGUCUGUUAUGAACAUAGUGGAGCAUGUAUCCUUGUAAUGUGUUGGAACAUCUUUUCGGUAUAUGCCCAGGAGUGAUACAGCUGGGUCCUCAGGUAGUGCUAUGUCCAAUAUUAUGAUGAACCGCCAGACUUAUUUCCAGAGAGGUUGUACCAGCUUGCAAUCUUACCAACAAUGGAGGACUGUUCCUCUUUCUCCACAUCCUCAACAGCAUCUACUGUCAACUAAGUUUUUGAUCUUAGCCAUUCUGACUGGUGUGAAGUAGAAACUCAGAGUUGUUUUGAUUUGCAUUUCCCUGAUGACUAAGGAUGUUGAAUAUUUCUUCAGGUACUUCUCAGCCAUUCAGUAUUCCUCAGUUGAGAAUUCUUUGUUUAGCUCUAUACCCCAUUUUUAAUAGGAUUAUUUGGUUCUCUGGAGUCUACUCUUGAGUUCUUUGUAUAUAUUAGAUAUUAGCUCUCUGUAGGAUGGAGGAUUAGUAAAAUCUUUUCCCAAUUUGUUGGCUGCCAUUUUGUCCUAUUGACAGUGUUCUUUGCCUUACAGAAGCUUUGCAACUUUAUGAGGUCCCAUUUGUUGAUUCUUGAUCUUAGAGCAUAAGCCAUUGGUGUUCUGUUCAGGAAAAUUUCCCCUGUGCCCAUGUGAUUGAGACUCUUCCCCACUUUUUCUUCUAUUCAUUUCAGUGUAUCUGGUUUUCUGGGGAGGUCUUUGAUCCCCUUAACUUGAGCUUUGUAGAAGGAGAUAAGAAUGGGUCAAUUUGCAUUCAUCAUUCAUCUACACGCUGACUGCCAGUUGAACCAGUACCAUCUGUUGAAAAUGCUGUCUUUUUUCCAUUGGACAGUUUUAGCUCCUUUGACAAAGAUCAAGUGACCAUAGGUGUAUGAGCUCAUUUCUGGGUCUUCAAUUCUAUUCCAUUGAUCUAUCUAUCUGUCUCUGUACCAGUACCAUGCAGCUUUUACCACGAUUGCUCUGUAAUACUGCUUGAGGUCAGAGAUGGUGAUUCUUAUUGUUGAGAAUAGUUUUUGCUAUCCUGGGUUUUUUGUUAUUCCAAAUGAAUUUGCAAACUGUCCUUCUAACUCAAUGAAGAAUUGAGUUGGAAUUUUUUUAUGGGGAUUGCAUUGAAUCUGUAGAUUCCUUUUGGCAAGAUGGCCAUUUUUACCAUAUUAAUCUUGCCAAUUCAUGAGCAUGGGAGGUCUUUCCAUCUUCUGAGUUCUUCUUCAAUUUCUUUAUUCAGAGACUUGAAGUUCUUGUCAUGCGGAUCUUUCACUUUCUUGGUUAGAGUCACAUUGAGGCAUUUUAUAUUAUUUGUGACUAUUGUCAAGGGUGUCAUUUCCCUAAUUUCUUUCUCAGCUUGUUUAUCCUUUGAGUAGAGAAAGGCUACUGAUUUGUUUGAGUUAAUUUUAUAUCUAACCAUUUUGGUGAAGUUGUUUAUCAGCUGUAGGAGUUCUCUGGUGGAAUUUUAGAGGCCACUUAAGUAUACUAUCAUAUCAUCUGCAGACAGUGAUAUUUUGACUUCUACCUUUCCAAUUUUUAUUCCUUCAAACUCCUUUUGUUAUCUGAAUGCUCUGUCUAGGACUUCGAGUGCUAUGUUGAAUAGGUAGGAGGAAAGUGGGCAGCCUUAUCUAAUCCCUGACUUUAGUGCAAUUGCUUCAAGUUUCUCUCCAUUUAUUUGAUGUUGGCUACUGGUUUGCUGUAUAUUGGUUUUACUAAGUUUAAAUAUGGGCCUUGAAUUCCUGAUAUUUCUAAGACUUUUAUCAAGAAGGGGUAUUGAUUUUUUUUCAAAUGUUUAACACACACACACUUUUAGUUUCCUGGUAUCUACACACACAUGCUCCAAUGUAAGUUCGUGUGUGUGUGUGUGUGUGUGUGUGUGUGUGUGUGUGUGUGUGUGUGUUGUGUGUGUGUAAGUGAGAAAGAGAGAGAGAGAGAGAGAGAGAGAGAGAGAGUUAGAAUUAGAAGAUAUGAUAUGAUCCAUGUUUGAGAAUAAACAUGCAUUGUCUUUCUGAGCCUGAGUUAUCUGAGCCCAUAUAUUUUCUAAAUCCAUUCAUUCUCCUAAAAUUUUCAAAAUUUUGUGUUCUUUUCAAGGAAUUAAAAUUCCAGUAUACAUAUAUACCACCUUUUCAAUAUUUAGUCGUCUAAUGAUGAACAUCUAGGCUGAUUACAGAUCGUUGAAAUUCUGAAUAGGGCAUCAACAAACAUGGAUGUACAAGCAUCUCCAUGGUGGGAAACAGUCCUUUGGGUUUAUUUCCAGGAUUGGAAUCACUGAGUCACAUUGAAGAUCUAGCUUUAGUUUUAUGGAAGCCUCCCCACCGCCAUAGUGGUUAUACCAUUUAUGCUCCCAUAACCAGUGAUCAGGGGUCUCCUCUCGAUAUCCUCACCAUUCCUGGUUACCAUAUUUACUUGAUGACAGAUGUUCUAAAUGGGGUGAGACACAAUCUCAAAAUAACUUUAAUGUUCAUUUCUCCCAUGGUUGAGAACACUGAUUAUCUUUUCACAAAUAUUUAUUUGUUCUUUAUGUUUCCUCUGCUGAAAGCUCUUCAGCCUAUCUUUAUUAUAUUAUUUCUUUCUUUGUUUAGUUUCUUGAACCUUUGCAUGUUUAUGGCUAUUAAUCCUCUUCGAGGUGUAUAGCUAACAAAGAUUGUCUCCCAUUCUGCAGAUGACCUCUUCCCUUAUUGACUCUGCUUUGGUGAGCAAAAGCGGUCAGUUCAUACGAUUCCACAUAUCUAUUGUUGUCCUCACUUCCUGAACCAUCAUUACCAGGACCUGAGCUGAGGAGGAACACAGGGAACUAUUUAGUAUGUACAGAGUUUAAGAACUGCAAGAUGAAAAUGAUUUAGAGUUCUGCUCAAGAAUGAUAGUAUGCGCACUUUGAAUGAGUGAGAUGUAGAAUUACAUGCUCUCUGUUUAAAAACAGAAGAAUGAAGGAAUUCAACUCCAAGUUCUUACAAGGAAUUUCUCUUUUAAAGCAUUUGGAGUGCACUCAUGUGCACGCGCAUACAUGCACACACACAUACACACAUACACACAUUUUUACAUAUCUAUACACCCUUGACAUUAGUGGGGAAAAGAACUGCCCACUUCAGAAAAUUAAUUCCAUUAUUAUUUUGAACAACCAUGGCCACUUCAAAUCAAAGUAUUGUAGACUUCAUUUUCUUUGUAUCAUUGGAUAGACCAUCCAAUUUUUAACCACGGCACAAGUCAUUCUAUGUUGUUUCCUUUAGCAAGGAGAAAUUAUUAAACUACCUUCCUCUUACUUUGGUUGAAAAUGUUAUUAUUUUCUAGCUACCCAAGAAUCCUCACCUGCUGGCCCAACUUCUUAGAGAUCAAUUCUCCAUUCCAACCAGCUAUCUCUCUGUCUCUCUCUGUCUCUCUGUCUCUCUCUCUGUCUCUCUCUCUCAAACACACACACAGAGAAAGAGAGAGACAGAGAGACAGAGAUAGAAAGAGACAGAGACACUCAAACACACACAGAAACAGACAUACACACACACAUACAGAAAGAGAGAGACAGAGACAGAGAGAGACAGAGAGAGAAAGAGGCAGAGACACUCAAACACACAUAGAAACAGACAUACACACUCACACACAGAGAGACACAGGUAUACACAGAUAAAGACACACAAACACACAUAGACACACACAGGAAGGGUUUUUACAGAAAAAAAAAUGAGGUGAGGCAAUGAAUGCCUUGCAUCUAAACCAUUCCCCCUCGCUUUUUCCCUCCUUCCCUUCCCCCUCCUCUCCCUCCCAUUCCCCUCCUCUCUCUCCUCCUCAGGGGAUUUGCCUGGAUUCUGUUCCUCUUUGGAAAGGUAACCAGCCCCAGGCUUGAAGAUGACCCAUAUCUGUCACUUACUCUUGCAAACAAAUCUUUUCAUCCUAGUUUUUUAAUAGUCAGUCCACCCUAUCUGCAAGUUCAUAUCAACAGCUCAACAACAUUUGGGGAAGAUACUGUACUGUGCAUGCACUGAACACUAAGUUUUUUCCUAUUAUUCUACACACAUAUGGAAUAGCGGCUACUUAUAAAUACCUUAUAUCAGAAAUAAUCUACAUGAUUCAGGGGGUUAGUAAGAUAAUAUAUAGGGUUGCAUGAAAAUACCAUGCCAUUCUUCAAGAGGAGCUUGAAUAUUUGAAGUGGAAACUUCUAGUUUCUUUGGAAUGUUAGUUAUGUCAAAUGAUGUUUUUCUGGGACACACACAUGAAAGGAUGCCUUGCUAAAAUAGACACAUGAAAGGAUGUUUGAUGAAGGAGUAUGAAUAUGACCCCACAGACAGUGGGAGAUGAGCACUGAGUAUUGGUUUGGUUUGCUAUUCUUCUCUUAUGAUUGGCACAUAUUGGCUUGCCUUACACAGUGUUGUUGAGCUCAACUUGUAGUAAUGCUGGCAUUGAGAAGAACUCACCCAACAACUGCUUGUGAGGUUCCUGCAUCAGCUUGUCACUCUGAAGCCUCACCUCAGGCAGGAUCCUCAGUUUUAUGCCUGAGGUGAGGAAAGGUUUCGAAGAACAACAUGAAAUCACCAGAGACUGAAACUCCUCCAACUACAAGACUUUGAAAUAGCUCCACUCCAUUUCAGAGAACCACAGCUCUGGGUGACAUAUUGUACAGCAAGACCUCCAAGACCUCCAAUUUACAGCUCUCCAGAGACGUGUUGGCUUACAGACAAUUCUGCCAGACUCCUCCCAGAGACCUAGCAACAGUUCUCAUCACUUGCAGUCAUUACUACCAGCACCACCCCUGGGUACGAGUGGCCUGGCAGCAGAUAAGAGGACUGCUCGCUACCCCAGUCCUCCUCCUCUCUUUCUUCCCCCCCUCUCUCCCUCCUUCCUUCCCUCUCUCUCUCUCUGCCUCUCUGUCUCUCCUUCUCUCUCUGCCUCUCUGUCUCUCUCUCUCUACCUUUCUGUUUUUCUCUCUCUCUCUGACUCUCUCUCUGCCUCUCUGUCUCUCUCUGCCUCUGUCUCUUUAUCUCUCUGUCUCUAUCUCUGUCUGUCUCUCUUUCUCUCUCUGUGUGUGUGUGUCUGUCUGUCUGUCUCCACAUCUUCCUGGCCAACCUUUUUUUCUGUCCUUCUCUGUCCCCACUUCUUUGCCCUCAUGGCUCUGUCUGCCUCAACCCCUUCUCUAGGGUCUCACUAACUCCCCUCCCCCAUAAUAAACCUUCCUUAUACUAGGUCUGUUGUGUGGUAUGAUUUCUCAGAACACCUUGGCAUGGGCCCUCCAGGUACCUCCUUCCCCACACUGACACUGUAUAAUAUUUCAUAGCACGACCAUUAGCCACUGAGACAUAUGUAUUUAUUUCACAGGAGCUGUGUGUGUAUGGUGAUAAGCCAAUGGCAGAGCCAAGCAGAGAAGUACCAAACACCUAUGUCACCUACUCCUAUACAGUGAACACCCAGGACAACACUUUCAAACCUGUACCUCUACAACAUGACCUUGUCCCAUGUCAUAGGCAAAGCUGACACUAGUGUUCUCCCGGCCUCCCUUGCUACUCUCUGCUCAGGGUUACCCUUCUUUCUGAUGUGAUAUAACCACACGAUAUUGUGAAAUAUAAUGUGGUGAGGGGGUAUCAAGUGCUCCAAUGUAUCCCCUCGAGGAAUCACGCCAUGCAAGAGAUCUGGUGUAGAGGAGGGUUAUUGGGGGAAAGGAGGGGAGUGAAGGUCUAAAGAAGGAAUAGAGGCAGAUGGAUGGGAGCAUAGCCGUGAGGGCAGAGAAGAGGGGACAGAGAAGGACAGAAGGAAGAGAGGGGAGAGAGCUGUGGUGAUGAGCAGUCCUUUCAUAAGCCACCCACACCUUGUGGCAGCAGAGGGCAAAUGAUGAUCUAAGCCAUUGCUAGGUCGCUGGGAGGAGCCGAGUGAAAUCCCCUGCAAGCUAGGUGUUGAAUUAAUUAAUGCUGGCAGUAGAUUCUCCUACCCACCCAAUGGUUUAUGUUCCCCAAUAAAAGGCACUCACAUCAGCUUUAUAUUUUAACAUACCUUAGGUAGCACAAUAGCUGGGCAACUGUCUAACCUCUACACAGUUAAUCCACCUCUCAGCGAUAAUCCCAAAUCAUUACUUACUAAAUUCUAUAUUCUAUCUGGGCUGCCCUGGACUCUUGGGCCUUGCUCUCCUGGCUUCUACAUGGUGGCUACCGUCCUCCCUGUCCUCCACGCUACUCAGGCAUGGCGUCUCUCCUCUCCUCCAUGCUCUUCGUGCAUGGUGAAUCUCUCUCUCUCUCCUCCCAGUCCCAAGCCCAGGUCCAGGAAUACUAAAGUCCCACCUCUCUCUGUCCUGCCUAGAUAUUGGCUGUUAGCAUCUUUAUUACCAAUCAGAACCAACUCUGGGAAGGGUCCUUCAGUGUCUUACAAACAGACUCUCUCGUGCAAACAAUUUUAGGGAUCCAAAUUAACAUCAGAAUACAAGCAGCAUUAGGCUAAAUCCACUCCAGCUAGGUCCCUGGGAGAAGCCCAGUGGAAUCAUUUGCAAGCUAAUAUACAAUAUAAUAUCAUUCCACCUUUAAAAGGAGGUAGAGACACAGCUGAACCUUGAAAGUAUUGUACUGUGAAAUAAGACAGUUCCUCUUACUUGGGGUCCUGGCGCAGUCAGACGCAGACCCAGAGCAUGAAUUAUAACCAUCAGAAUGUAGAGUAAAAGGCUGUGUAAAGUGAGGAGCCAUAUUGUUAAUAAGUACCAAGUUGACAGUGGAUGGUGGUGACUGUUAACAAUACAAACCAAAGAACUGUAAACUUUGAAGCAGCCAAAAUGGAAAAGUUGGUCACAUAUGUAUAUUACCACAUUUCUAAAUGCCUCAGAGCUGAGUGUGAAUCAUGGGGGAUAGGUAAGCUAGCAUAAAUACGUUUACCCCUAUGAGGAGGUUACAGAUAGGAGAUGUUCUGUGAUGAAGAGCUUUCUAGAACCUAAAGAAAAUGAUGAGUACUUUCUAAGUUCUAUCACUGUGUACUGUGACCAACCUCAAAGUCAGCAAGCUGGCGGAAUGGAGAGGAGGAAGUAAAAUCAGAAUAGGAAAGAGAGAAGGCACAUCUCCACUCACUGUGCAAUAAUAGGCCUGUACUAGAAGAACUUUAAUUGAAUUUGAAGUCUGAGGAAAAUAUCCUGGACUAGGCAUAUUACUAAAUAAGAACCAUAUUUCCCAACGAGGAUCACGAGGCUGCAUCUGAAUGUAAACCAAGAGUAAGGAUAAGUAAAUCCAAAUACAUUUACAAAAACAACAGUGAAAAGACAAAAAAGGAAGCUGCUUUACAAUGACCCUCUUUAUUUGUAAGGGUUUUUAGACAUGCAUACACACGGGGGAUGGGGGCACACACAAACACACACAACAAAAACAACAAAUAAAGUGGAUGGGUGGAGAGAUGGAUGGACAGACGACAGACAUAUGACACGAAGAUAUGUAAACAGAUGUGUAAAUGCAUAGAUGAUUAAAUACCUAGGCACCACACAGCAUUGGUCUAUUCUACUCUAGUGUGGGAACUAAGAUGACCUGCCUUCUGCAAGCUGGUGGGAACUCAGAAAAUCUAGUGGUGAGAUUCAGCACGAGUCUGAAGGUCUGUGUGUGGACUAUACAUCCCACACCAAUAGCAGAAGGAACGAGAUGUCUCAACUCAAACAAGACAGGAAGCAAAGGGAGCGGGGUGGUCCUCCUUCCUCUGCUUUUGUUGCUGAUGCUGUUCUAUGGUGGCUCUCAACACCCUGGAUGAUGCACACCACACUGGACAGAAACCAGCUCUAUUAGACCCACCAGCUCAAACACUCUCCUCCAUUCAGCAGUACCUCUGUAUCCAACUGACCUGAUCUAAUUGACACAUGAAAUUGACCUUCACUUCAUAAUUUUGGUUGGAAAUUCAAAUCUACACUUAUAAACUAAUUUUGAAAUAUUGUAAACUACAUAUGACAACUUUAAUAGCAACAUAAAUUUUAAGACACUAGUUUUCAAGAAAGAGAAAAUCAGGUAUUCACUUCUGCCUAAACUGUUAAGGGAACAACAUGUACUGAAUCAAUUCUCAUAAAGCAUUGCAGGGUUGUUUUUUCUAUUUAUUUGUUUAUUUGUUUAUUUAUUUACUUACUUAGUCUUUUGAGACAAGGUUUUGUGUAUCCUAGGCUGGCCUCUACCUCACUAUGAAGUAAAGGCUGGUUUUAAAAUCCUGAUUCUCCUUCUUCUGCUUCCAAAGUGCUAGGAUUUCAAGCCUGUGCAGUCAUGGCCACCCUAAAAUCUUUAUUAUAAGUUGUGGUUCCAGGGGUCAUUAGUUUAAGAGCACUGUUUGCCUUUUGCCCUGAAUGUAUACUUGGGGUAACUGCAAUAAAACAGCUACUAUGCCACACUGAAAGGCAGGCUUACCCAGUGCCUGCACAGUCCUCAUCCUGCACCACAAACCUGUAUCUUUGAGAAUAAUAACAGAAAUCACAUUUGCUGUCUUACUUUCAUAUCUUUACCCACCGUGUCUGCACAGCUCUCUGAGCAAGUAAAAAUAGCAAGGGUUGGGGUCAUUUAAGUCUAAUAUGUCUUCCUAACUAGUCCUUUGAAGCUCAAAGAAGACAAUGAGGGAGCAACAAGAGAGACUUCACACAGAUCCUGCGUGAGGAUUUCCUACAGGCACACACUUACCUGAAAACCAAAUGGCAUAUCAAAACAGUGUUCUCCGCCUGUGCCAUGCUGCCAGGAGUCUUCUCUCUGCACGUCUGCUCUUUGUUUGUUCUGUUGUUCACUGUGUAGCUUGUGUUACGCCAGGGAGAGUCUCCGAGUGAACCCAGGUGAGAGUCUGAGGGGAUGCUUCUGCUUAGGAAAGCUUUGACUGUCUCCUGAGCAAGCUUUUGUGUACCGCGGCUGUUACAAAGGUAUUUUUUAAACUCUGCUGAGAGCGAUCCACCUCCAGACACUUGCUGAGUGUACACCGAGGUCUUGACAGUAUUCCUUCGCUCAGGAACGGAACACGCAUCUUUGAAACACAGAUGCUGUAGCAUGAGAGGCAAGGCCCUUCAGGCAAUGCCCACCAACCUGUGCAGCCCUCCUUCCUAACCAGGAAGUCAUGGGCUUUAUAGUUUGUUUCCUCAUGGUUUAAUGUGCAGUUGCUCUGCCUCUAGGAUUCCCCUGGAGAAAUACUAACAAGCAUAUUGAUCACACACACACACACACACACACACACACACACACACACACACACCAGUCCUUCACAGCCUAGCCAAAAUCUGAGUCCUCAUCUCUCAAAAAGCCUUUUGCUGGCUCACACUGAAAAUAGUCUCUUUCCCUAAACAGCAGAAACAUGGAUUCACAGCCUUACAAUGCAGAGAGUAGUCCUGUCUUCCUUUCCUACCUCCCCAACUAGGUUGAAAAUAACCUAAAAGCAAGACAAACAAACAAAAAAGUUUGCUUUUGGGAAUUCCACACUGGUACAUACCGCAAACUGCCAUAAAUAAUUAUCAAGUGAAUGAAUGAAUGAUAACAAGAACAGAUACAAAUACAUAGAGAUGUUCUCAUCCAAUUCUAUAAGCAUUUAAAAAUCUUAACACUGUACUGUUAAUUAUAAUUGUCAUGUUUCUCAGAUUAGAAUGUGAUUUAUCCCUUUGAGUUUGAACUAAAUAAUCUACUCUAAAAAAUUACAUUUCAGGAAAAACACUGUCCCCCACUCAGUCAUGUGUGUACCAGACAUUACUUCUUUUUUUUUUCUCCAUCUUUAUUAACUUGGGUAUUUCUUAUUUACAUUUCAAUUGUUAUUCCCUUUCCCAGUUUCCCGGCCAACAUCCUCCUAGCCCCUCCCCCUCCCCUUCUAUAUAUGGGUGUUCCCCUCCCCAUCCUCCCCCCAUUACUGCCCUCCCCCCAACAAUCAUGUUCACUGGGGGUUCAGUCUUAGCAGAACCAAGGGCUUUUCCUUCCACUGAUGCUCUUACUAGGAUAUUCAUUGCUACCUAUGAGGUUGGAGCCCAGGGUCAGUCCAUGUAUAGUCUUUGGGUAGUGGCUUAGUCCCUGGAAGCUCUGUGUUGGUUGGCAUUGUUGUUCAUAUGGGGUCUCAAGCCCCUUCAAGCUUUCCAGUUCUUUCUUUGAUUCCUUCAACGGGGGUCCUGUUCUCAGUUCAGUGGUUUGCUGCUGGCAUUCGCCUCUGUAUUUGCUGUAUUCUGGCUGUGUCUCUCAGGAGAGAUCUACAUCGGGUUCCUGUCAGCCUGCACUUCUUUGCUUCAUCCAUCUUAUCUAGUUUGGUGGCUGUACAUGUAUGGGCCACAUGUGGGGCAGGCUCUGAAUGGGCGCUCCUUCAGCCUCUGUUCUAAACUUUGCCUCCCUAUUCCCUCCCAAGGGUAUUCUUGUUCCCCUUUUAAAGAAGGAGUGAAGCAUUCACAUUUUGGUCAUCCGUCUUGAGUUUCAUUUGUUCUAGGCAUCUAGGGUAAUUCAAGCAUUUGGGCUAAUAUUCACUUAUCAAUGAGUGCAUACCAUGUAUGUCUUUCUGUGAUUGGGUUACCUCACUCAGGAUGAUAUUUUCCAGUUCCAUCAUUUCUUAUUUCUUAGGUCCCUCCAUGGGUUCCUCUGACCUGCCUGUACUCAGUCCACCUGUGGGCAAUGGCCGUGUGACCGAGGGCAUCUGUCCACGCUCACCACCAUUGUUCUUUGCAUUCUCUCAGUAGAAGCUCACUGUGACCUCGUCUCACCUUUCACACACAAGGCUUUCAACAACAAAAAGAAUUCAUCACAGGGGGAUAAAGAGAAAUAAAUUUCUUUAAAACAAAUUCAGUCUUUAUGCUCAAAAUAUUUACCUGCCAAAUAAUUUCUCAAGUAGAAUAAAUUUGGCUAACUCUAGAAAACUCUAUUUUCCAUUCAAUACAUUUUCCUACAAUAUACAGGUUAGGUGUUGGCGUUGUUAUAAAAUAUUUGAAAGACAAAUAUGUACACAAAAUAUGUAACAGACCUUUGUGAGGACAUUAACCACUUGAUAAAAUGUAUGCAUCUCAUCUUGACUAAUCAAUGUUCCCCUGAUUUUCCUUUAUUAGCAGUAAUGAUAAUAUGACGGAAGCCAUGGGACUGUAAACAUCAGACAUCAGUAUCAAAGAAAAGCCCAUGUUUCAAGAGAAAAGGUUCUCACUGUCAAGCUCCCUUCCCCCAUUGUACUUAGUUUCACAUCCUCCUUAUAUAAGGUAGUGCUCAAGUCUAGACUAAGGGUCCAAAACGCUGAGGCUUUUGGGAGUCAGAUAACUACAGUAAAUAACUAGAGUGGCGUUUGAAUAUCAGAACAUCAGGGAAUGGGAGACACUGGAAGAAAAUCAAAAGCACUGGACUCCUCCCAGGAGACGCUACUACUUCACUCCAGCCCAGGGCCACACAGGAACGUGAUCUCCAUGUCUGAUGCUUCUCCAAAGUAACUGGAAAUCAGAGCUCAUUGGGAUAUUACUUAAGACUUAAUUCCAUGUUAUACACACACACACACACACACACACACACACACACACACACACACACACACACAGGUAUUAUCUGAAAUCAUCUAAACAGGCCUAAGGCCAAGGGAACCUAUGGGUCAACAUUUUACAGCCUCUAACUUUAGGUGCUCUUUUUAUUUCAUCAUAAUGUAAAAUCCUGUUUUCUCCUUGGAGUUUAUUUGAUAAGAAAGAAAUUUUGUAUUUACCCAUCUUUCCAUACACUUUAGCUGAAUGAAAUCAAGUAAAAUGGCAAAGCAAGGACAACAGAGCUCUGGGGGCAAACACAAGAAGCCUUCCCACCCUCACACUCAUAUGCCACGCCCCCCCACAUCCUCUUUAAAGUCUCACGGCUUCAGGCAAGCAGCCUAGCUUCUUGGAACCAAAUAUUUUUCAUCAUCUAUAAAAAUAGGAGUAAUUCUUCUAACUUAUAAGGUCAUCCCUCCUAUUAUUUGAAAGAGAUUAUGUUAAUGGGAGAAUGUUUGAACUCUAAAGCACAGAUCUACAGUCAGGAAUGAUGACUUUAUUGAUGAUCUUCCCCAAAAAAGUCAAUUGGAAAAGAAAAUGAAAUGACAUUUGGGAUGGCAAACCAUCACUUACUGAAAAAGGCCGAGCAUUGGGGGGGACACCUCAGAACUCUGAGCAGGGAUCAACAAUUACUAUGCUGCUAAAUGUAUCUAAAGCUUGACAUUUAUAGUUCAAACAGAGUCUUGGCUGCAAAAUUUUGCACAGCCUGGCACUGAAACUACCCAUCCUAGAAACUAAGAGUCAUGUUCACUCAAUCCAAGAUCUCUAGAUUCUACAGAAUAUCGGAGUACACUCUUCUAACUCAGGAUUACGGUCGACUCGCGGAGACUUAUUACACUUGAUUGGAUCCACAUGCUAUCAUGAAGGCCGAAGAGUUUCCCUAGCUCUAGGCAGACGGAAGUCGCCACCCAAUGGAAUGUGGUAUCUUCUUCGAGCACCUCCCAACUUUGAGGUUGACUGAGGAAGUUUUGGUCCCAUCCAAAUCCCUUUCUGGAGUUUCUAGUGUUAUUACUACCAAGUGUUCUGAGGAAUGCCAUCACUAAGCAAGAUAAACCUUAGCCUUCUCCUGGGAACAGCUAAGCAGUGCUGUAGUCUACUCCUAAGGCUUCUCACUUGAAACAGAUCCAGUUUGUAUAAACCAAACACUUCAUAUUCUAAAUUAGGCAAAUAUUAAAUCAAGCAAGUCCAAGGAAACAGCUUCUACCUAAGUUUGAUGAUUUUUAUGGAAUAAUAGUACAUAUCAUAGGUUUAAAGGUCACAGCAUAUAUAUAACAACUACUCUAUGGUCACAUGACAGCAGCCAGAGAUAGCGUCUAAAUGCAAUGGCACGGCAAGCAAAAUAACACCAGCACUACAAAAACAGGGAGAGAGCAGUAGCUUGUCCAACCUUAGCCUAGACUCUUCUACUCUAUGUAAAACUAUUUCAGUAUCUCAAAAUGUUCAACUGCUGAUGAAGAAUUAUUCUCAUGAAAAUGGUUGCCAAAUAGAACUAACAAACACUGCAAAAGGUCCAAGGGCCUUCUCUCUCUUCUCAAAGGUAGCCUGUGUGAUGACAAUUUCAUUUCCCACUUCCCCAAUAAUGAAACCAAAGAACUCACUUAUCAACUGCCUCACAGAUACACAGGCAGAGUCACACCUCAGAUCUCUCUGUCCUCUCUCCUCCUUCCACCAAAGCAGGGAGCUGCCAUGCAUUACACAAAGGAAUUUCCAGAUGCCUCUAACAUCUAUGAGCCCAUCUCAGAUUGGACACUUACCACACUUUGACUAAAUAAUGUUCGUCAUAAUGUUCUUAAAUUUUAGCUUAAAUGAAUUCCAUUUUAAAGUCAAAGAAAAACUGGUGCUAAAUUCUAUUUAUUAACCUAUUAGUUUCAACUACAAGUACAAAAUGUUCUUACAAACUCUUUGCAGAAGAUACUAAUAAGGCAAUAAUGAGCAAGUUUCUUAGGCAAUACAUAAUUUUAGGUAAGGAAAUCGUUUUUCUGGUGGCUUUAUUGAGUCUCGAUAGACACAUCAAGCUUUUUCUUAGACUUUAAUUUGAAAUACAAAUCUAUUUUACAGACUUAGCACCUUGUAUUACUGACCACCUUGGGAACAACUACUAAAAUGAAGAAACCCAUUAUUUAAAACUACAAAUCCUUAACAGGAAGAAAUUGUGAGCAUAAUUUUAUUUCUAUUGAGCACCUGAUAAAGUACGUUUAAAUUGGCUACUUUAUGCUUUUUCUUAUUUUAACGUUUGAAGGUUGUUUUAUAAAAUAAUUUUCAAAUCCUUGUUUGUCCUAGUCAGUUGCCCUCAUUUGAGGACUACCAUCUAUGGCGUUAAAAGCAAUUAGCUUCAAAUGUUUUAAGAUAACCAGCAUCUUCCCAUUAUAAAUUACCAACACACACACACACACACACACACACACACACACACACACACACACACUCUAAUUAAGGGAGCCAAAGGAGUUGUCUCCUAAUUUGUCAACAUGCCUUUAGCUACCAAACCAAGGGAAGUUCAGGUUUUUGAAACCUGGAAAGCACCCGCUUUUCACAGGUCUGCCUAAUCACCACACUGACUAAUAAAAAAAAAGUCUCCAAAGUUCAUCAGAGCGAGAUGUGCUCUCUGAUAACGAGUGAGUGUAAUAUUAAGUACAAUGGGUAGGCAUGUUCCGGUUAACUUCUCUUGAAGGGAUAUAAAAGAUGCAGCUGAUAUGGGAAAAUCAGAAACCCAGAAGCAAAGCACAGUAUGAUUUUAACCAGGGGCUAUGCUGAGAGAGGUCAACACUAUGUCACGAUGUAGACUGACUCUCAGCUUACCCGGCCGUAACGCUCUGGACAUUUGUACAGCAGAUCCACGCAUCCCAUCUAAAGCAGCUGACAGACGCAUAGGCCUGGAGUGCAUGCUGGCCUAAGGCUGUAAAUCCAAGCUACAAAACAACCAAACUCCCAUCUCCGUAGAACUACUGUGAUUCCGAACACAUCCCUACAUGCCUCGGUGCCCAGGCCCCAGUUCCUUUGAAAUAAUACUCAUUUAUCUCCUAUCUUCAGUGCCUAGCACAGAGUGUAUCAAUGAUAAUAAGAACAUUUCAACUUUUUCCAAUGCCAGGCUCUAUGCCAAUUCAUCUUUUGCAGAAAAUGCCUAACUCCUCAAAAGAGCCUGCUUGUGCUAAAGUUUUAAACGGGUGAAAACGUGUUACACCAGAUAUGUCUAAAUUCUACUGUAAAUGAAAUAAGAGGUUCAUUUUUCCAAGAAGCUCUUCAUUUAUUAAACACCACACACACACUCACACACACACAUGCACACACACAUGCACACACACAUGCGCACGCGCACACACACACCCACACACACCAAAACAAUGAUCAAGGCCCAUGUGAAAUAUAAAGUGAUAUAUUAAAGUUUAUACACAUACGAAUCUCCAUAGCUGAUACUUUAAAUGCUCAGUAGGUUUCAAGCUUGUGAGACUCUGGAAACAGAAUUUACAUUCAAUUGAAGAGGAACAAGAGUUGGUACAGUGCUGGAUAAGACAGAGAGAAAGAAAGCAAAACUUAGAAAGAACCACCAACAACGGCAAGCGUCAACUUCCCAGAAAGCUACUGCUUAAAGGACAGUUAAGGUAAGCUUCGUCAUCUCAGCAUGCUCCCAGCUGCUUUUUCUUGGGGGGUUCCCCACUUAGACUUGACAGGUAGAUCUCAUUAGAGGUGGAAAUAAUGUGACGAAAGAAACAGUCUGAGAGUACAGUAGGGAACAGGCCCUCUUCAAGUUUACCCUCUGUAUUUGCUGUCAGCUUGGACCUCCACAUAUGUGCUUAGCUAAAGCCCAUCCCCUUCUCAAAGAAGCUGAGACAAAUGAAAUAUCUGCUGAUUUGAGAUGCCAGCUUGGGUUAAUGAUAAUUUUACUUUUCCAGAGCUAAAUACGAACUCUGCGUCUGAGUAAACCAUUACUUCCAGAGAAAACAGAACAUAAUGAUAUUUAAAAUUAAGACUAUAUCAUAAAGUCUUUCUAGAAAGGUAUGAGCAUCUUUGAAUAAGACUAUAAAUUGGGUAGAUAGCUCUACACAAAUAUGUGAGUACAUCUAGAAUUGCUAACCAGAACCUCCUAACUUCUAAGGUGUGACUGUGGAUGAAAGGCCUUUCUCGAGGAACUUCUUCCACGGACUGGUGUUGAUAGGUUCAUUCUGGAAUACAGAAACUCCUUCCUAGACUGAUAACCAUUUCAGGUUCUCGAACUCGUCUCCCCUCAACCAUCAAAAGCUUUACUCAAAAGCUCUGUCUUCUACAAACGGGGGGAGGUGUCCACAUGAAUUGCUUACAGGAUACCUACGCAGAUAUGGGCAGGGAACUUUGUAUUUUAAAAAGGCAUUAUCAUGGAGAAGUUUCCCAUCAGGAAUUUAGCCAGUGCCAUCAAGCAGAGAAAGCGGCUGUACUUUUAUACUACUGCUGGGUCUAAUGUUUCCUCACUUGAGAUGUCUUACCAUCUGACCUUGUCUUUGAAUGUUUUCAUGUAUGUUUCUUAAUACUUUUUACUACACAUUAGGAAUUAGAACUGAGUCAUGAUUUCCCAAUUCUUGACCACCAAGAGCUAAGAAGGCUUUAAUAAAAUGUCUUGACAGUGAAAGGUUACUGGUUUUCACCUGAGAGUCUGUAAGGAACCAGUGCUGGUUUGCUUUCUGUAGAUGGACGGAAGCAUGGGACAUGUGAGGGUCAAUGAACACAACUUGUAAUGUUAUUCACAUAGCAUUUAAAAAGGAAAGGAUAAGAUUUAACUUCACUUAAACCUUCACCCUCCAACAUCACAGAACACGGCUGUUCUUGCGCUGUGCGUGGAGCAUUUAUCCUCUAGAUCUCAGCUGCUGCACCACCACCCAGCUCUCAUGUGACCCUGGACAGUGUUCUCUGUCAUUCCCCAUAGGCAGAGGCUGACCCUGCUUUAUUUAUCACCACAUUAGCUUGUUUGAUUUCCCAAGUGCUGUUUGCGUUUAAGAUAUUGUGAGUAUUAAAUGUUAGAAUUCCAUUACACAGGGCCUGGCACAUAAGAACUUCACCAUACUAGCUACUACCAUGCUGUUCAGGCUCUGUACUUGUCCUUCUUCUAAAGCACAGGGUCAUUCGAAUUUAACUCAAGUUUAUAUCUCACCUCUGUAUCAUUGGGUUCCUGCAUAUAUUCUUAUAUGGUCCCUUGCAGUCCAAAGACCCCAAUGUCUACAGCAUCGUAUCGCCAGCAUGAUUUUGCUAUGUGAAGAACAAAUUUGUAAUAUUGGAGCAUAGAAAAGGGACCACCCUCUGAGCAGGUCAUGAAAGGUUCCACUGAUGAAUGACACUUCAGUUUGUCUUAUGUGAUGAAUGGGAAUCUCCCAGGGUAAGAAAUGAGGAUAUUCCAUGCUUUCAAAAGCAUUGGCUUUUGGGAGAGUCAUAAAAAUUACAGUGCAGCUGGAGUUGGGAUGUAGAGCUGAGAAGGAGACAAGAGAUAAAAGUGGAGAAGGCAGCUGGGACUCAAAUCAAAAGGGAUGUGGAACUGCCACAGCUGGACCUGGGCAUUAAUCAGAACGCACAUACAAACAAGGGAACAGGGUUAACAACUGUUCCGGGUGAAGACAGUCUUGCUGAAGGGAGAGAGCGGUGGAAUGAAGCUGGUAGCAGGAGAGGAGGUCAGGGGCAAGACUGAGAUGCUAUCGUGGAGCACGCCCAGAAGGGCGUUCCCAUUGUUUCAUUAGCAAAAGAGCGAAUGCAAUGCUAUCAGGGUUAAUUCUAGGGCACCUAUUUACAUCUUUUUUGCUAUAUUUCCUAACAUUAAAAGUUAUUAAAACCUAAGCUACAAACAACCCUCUGUAAAUAAAACUAAGCACACAGGGAGAGGGAAAUUUCAGCUCCAGUGUUUGAGCCUCUUCCCAGGCAGAAUUAUUCACGAUCCCAGAGGGCCCUAGAAGCCGGAUGUCCUCUAAGUACAUAACAAAUGGUAUUCACUGUGGGAGGACCAUAGGUCAGAGAAGCAGUAAGUCUCAAAAAAAAAAACAAAACAAAACAAAACAAAACACCAACUACUUGAAGAACUGCUCAGAUUUGAGCAAAAAAUAAAAAACUGGGGCCACAGAGCAAUAAAUAGUUACACUUAUGAAAAGCAGAGGGAGGAAUGAAGUAACAGCACAUGAGCUGGAACUACAGCGGAGUCCGCUGUGUCCGACCCUCAGAAUAAAAGAUAACAACACAAAGAACUGCUGCAAGGUAAAAUGCUCGUUUCUUGCUGGGAAUGGGAGCGGGUGGGGAAGCCUUCACAAUAAAUGAUAAUGGAGUUCGACCUAAAAGUAAGUGGUAAGUUCAUUUGUACAGGUGAAUGGAAGUCCUCUUCCAAAGAGAGCAAAGACAGAGGCGGCAAAGUUGAGGAAAUAUUAAAGGAAUGGCACUGAGCAAAGUCACAAUGAACCCUGAACUUCAAGGACCCACUAGAGUCAGGCAGAAUAAGAAGGGUCACGUUCAAGGUCAUGCCUCAGAGAAAGUGAGUUGUCGGUGGCAGUUACAGCAGAAUGAAUGGAUGAGAGCAAACUGAUCAAAUGCAGAGUAGGUGUUAGGGUGGAAACCAAUGGUCAGGUAGGGAAGUAACGUUUGAAGUUAUGAAAAGAAAGGUUUGAAGCUCUCUGAGCUCCCAAGAGGGGUUGAGGACACCAAGAGAACACAGACCACAGAACCAGUGAAGCAGACCUCACAGGGGCCCACAGAGGCUGAAGCAGUAAUCACGGAACUUGAGUCUGCACUUGGUCCUCUGCGUUACAUUAGGGUUCUCUACUCGGUGUCUCUGUGGAACUCCUAACAGUGGGAGUACUGGUACCUCUGACUCUUUCACCAGCUCUUGGGACCCUUUCACUCCUACUGGGUUGGCUCACCAGCCCUGAUAUCAGGGUACAUGCCUAGUCUUGUAACUUGUUAUACUGUUAAACCUGGGAGGUCUGCUCUGUAGGUGAAGCUAAAUAAUCGACAUUAGAAAAGCCAUAAGCUAAUCAUUCCCAGACAGGAACAAGGCUUGCCUUAGCACUUGAAAUUGAUCUAACUAUGAGUUGAAACCAGGCGGUGUUUCAGGUUGAAUCUGACACCCAUCAGCCUUGAUAAUGUAGCAGAGUCCUUGCAACCAAGAAUGUAAUUAACCAUGGGUUAAGACUUCUUUGGUGUUGCUGUUCUCAGUAAUGUGAUAGCCAAAGCAGAGAGAUGAUCACCCAAACAAUGUUCAGAGCAUGUAACAACAGGACAGAGAGACCAGAGCUUGAAGACAUAACAAGAGCCAAGUUUCAUGAUAGGUCAGAAGGUCCACCUGUAAUGGGAGCAAGUGAGAACCAUGCACAUGUCCAAGCAACGAAUGGGGCAGCGAGCUGGUAAGAAUGAAGCCAAGACUGGAUACUUCCCUGGAAUAUAUAAAUGUGCUGGGUGGGGAAGAUAUGACUGGCAGAACAUACUACCAGACAUUGUUUAAGAGUCUGAAUAAGAAAAACUGAAGAUGAGUUCAGAAGCAACCAGACCUAGAUCAGAGUCCUGGCUCUGUCAUUUAAGCCAAAUGACCUUAAAGUUCUGUUUCCUGGUCAUUAAGAUGGAAAUAAAUAUGUCUGCCUUGCAAACAUCAUGGUGAAGUUUAUAGACGACCCAUGCAAAGUCACUAGCGGCAGAAUAGACCUUAAGGGGACAUUGUGUCACAUGAGCACCACUCUUACGGUGCAACGAGCUUCAGGCUGUACAUGCUGGAUAGCUCAGAUGAGGAUAAGUGAGGGAUAGGAAUCCCCAGCCCCCUAUUAGAUUUCCCGCAAAUAUAGACACAAGUUAGCAGUGAAAACACUGAAUUAAGCUAUUCUAACUCAUCAGCCCUGAACUUCAAAAGCCUAAAGAGGACCUUCCCGUACCCACUUGGUAAGACAGACUUUGUAGUCUGCAUCAUUUUACUUGUGAGUCAGCCUAUUAUUAGGGCUUACAAAUUAGCUCUAAUUAUCAGAGGAAAGUGAUGUGGUUGCUCUAAUUGUCUGAUCAUCAAUUACUCUAGGAAGUCUAACUAGUAAGUAAUAAUUACUAGAUUAUUUCAUAAAGAAUGCUGUUGGUUUUUUUUCCUGACAGAGCUGCAUGUGGUCAAGAUAAAUUACAGCACUAGUCUACAUCUUUACCCAUCUUGUCAAAAUGCAGAAUUGGUCCAUGCCACGAAUUUGCAACUUUAAGUCUCUACACCAGGCCUUGAUGGUCAGGCUGUCUUUCUGACUCUUAGCCUUCAAUAUUUAACAGGCAGAUGAAACUUAACAAGAAUGGAAGAACCAAGAAAACAUGAGGACGAGACCUCCACCAUACUUCACCUUCUUCCCUCACUCCUACCUCAGGAAAAACACUGCUGUGUGCCCUGCUCUGUGGAUACAAGCAAGAACCCGCGUCAGUUGGAUCCUCUCUGUCCAUCACUGUACCCUAUGACAACAAGCUUCUACCUUUGUGGAAGGCCUGAAAGGAUAACGUCUAGUUGAUGCUACAAAGUCACUAGUAAUACUUUCCACACUCUGUAAGAAGAGGAAAUUUUGUAAAACUUCCUUGUUGAUAAAGUUCACAGAGGAUAUAAAUACAUUAAAAACAAAAA